rnacentral:misc_RNA from 1 species
CGACAGCUGGGCACACUGCUAACUGCACAACAACAAAAACAACACUCAGAAAAAACAGCAAAAUAGAGCCAGCCUUAGCUACCAAAUAUUUAUAUUAGAAUUUCACCUUACACGGCUGCGAAGUGCGCGCUUUUUACUGCGAAUUUUCGGCUGCCCCCGCACACACGCGGACGCACACGAACGGUGAUUGCGCAAUUUCAGUGGAACGAGUGUGGUGGUGUGCGGUGUGUGUGUGUGUGUAAACAACAAACGGACGACAAGGAAACAGAAACAGAAACAACGGGAAUUGAUUAGGACGAGUGGAGCUUUUGAUGGGCAACUCGCAACCGCGUAAUGCAAGCAGAAGCAGAAGGACAUCCCAGUGGCCACAAGGCGCAGCGGAACUAGGCGCCACAGCCACCGAUCACCACUACCACCAGGAGGAGCUGCAGCAGCACCAGCAACAGCAGGAGCAGCAGCAACAACAACAGCCGCAACAGGAGCAGGAGCAACCUAGCAGCAGAAGAAUCCAGUUCCAACCACAAACCAAUCUCCCAACCCAAUCCAAUCCUCCGGGCGUGGAGGAACAGCCUGUACAAUCACAACAGCAACAGCUUUCCACCUGGAGUCUUGGCAGCCUUAGCGGAGGACGACUCAACUGGAGCUUCUCCGGCGCCCGCAACUCAUUUCGUCAUCGAAACAAGGCCACGCGCAAGAGCUUGACCUCACUUCAUGGCUCUCGUCGUGGCAAGACACAGUGGCACCGACCUCUGACCAACUCAAUCUUCAACUCGCACUUCAAGGAGUCCAGCAAGAACGACCUGUACCGCAUUGAUCAUUUGGUGGCCAAGGGAGCCUUUGGCGUGGUCUUCAAGGUGUCCAGCAAGACUGACAACAGUCUGUGCUACGCCCUAAAAGUGCUGAAGAAAUCAAAGCUCAUCCAAGACAACAGCGUGCGGCAGAUUAAGGACGAGGCGGACAUACAGAAGGUGUGCGGCCAUCAUCCGUUUAUCGUGAAGCAAAUUGAUCUGUGGCAGAAUCGCCACAACCUGCAUAUUCUAUCGGAGUACGUACCCAACGGCGAGUUGUUCUCAAAAAUAACCCACUUCUCCAUUGAUUUGGUGCGAUUAUACAUCGGCGAGAUAGCACUUGCCUUGGAUUUUCUCCACAACGCUGGGAUUAUAUAUCGCGAUGCGAAGCCGGAGAACAUCCUGCUAACUCAACAGUUUCACAUAAAGCUAACCGACUUCGGCCUUAGCAAGUGGCUCAAACUGGGGGCAAACACGCGCACCAUGUGUGGCACUUUCAAAUACAUGGAUGUCCAAUAGGUUCCAUGGACCACCGCGCUUAGCCCACGAGCAUGAUAUAGGUAAAUUCUGGACUCACAUGUCCACGGCAGGACUUAAAAGCAGGAGGGUGACUUGCGUAGAUAGCCAUGGAGAGCCAAACGAAGAUGGGUGUAGAUGGCAUAGGCCAACGUAAGCUAUCCAGAUCCCACCAAAUGUAUAAGCUAUAACCCCUUUAUCAACCAUGCAAAACGUUCCAAAAGCAAGCUUUGAGCUCCAAGUUUUGAGCAAGCAGUUAGCUGUCAGCCGAGCAAAAUAUAUUGUGUUAAUUAUAUCUUAAUCGCCAGUGUAAAUAACGAAAAUGAUGCAAGCUAUGAAAUUGUACGCGGUGUGCGAGAGCAGAGCAGAAGAAAAGCAACCUUAACGAGUUCAGAACCCAUCUAAACCUAAUGUUGAGGUCGAGGCAAGUGGCGGUGAGGUGGUGAGGCGGUGAGGCGGUAGAAAUCACCGGAGAUUCUGUGCGGAGAACCCUAUGGCCAUGCGGUGGACUGGUGGGCCUUGGGCGUUAUUGCCUGUCAGAUGCUGAC